rnacentral:tRNA from 1 species
GGGCCCAUAGCUCAACGUCAGAGCAGCGGCCUCAUAAGCCGCAAGAUGAGGGUUAAAUUCCUUCUGGGCCCA